UUAACUACUGCGCCAGCAGCCGCGGUAAUACGUAGGGUGCAAGCGUUAAUCGAAUUACUGGGCGUAAAGCGUGCGCAGGCGGUUCGGAAAGAAAGAUGGAAAUCCCAGAGCUUAACUUUGGAACUGCAUUUUUAACUACCGAGCUAGAGUGUGUCAGAGGGGAGGUGGAAUUCCGCGUGUAGCAGUGAAAUGCGUAGAUAUGCGGAGGAACACCGAUGGCGAAGGCAGCCUCCUGGGAUAACAUCGACGUCAUGGUCGAAAGCAAGGGGGAGCAAACAGGAUUAGAUACCUCUGGUAGUCCACGCCCUAAACGAUGUCAACUAGCUGUUGGGGCCUUCGGGCCUUGUAUGGCAGCUAACGUUAGUGAAGUUGACCGCCUGGGGAGUACGGUCGCAAGAUUAAAACUCAAAGGAAUUGACGGGGAUCCGCACAAGCGGUGCGGGAUGAUGUGGAUUAAUUCCGAUGCAACGCGAAAAACCUUACCUACCCUUGACAUGUCUGGAAUCCCGAAGAGAUUUGGGAGUGCUCGCAAGAGAACCGGAACACAGGUGCUGCAUGGCUGUCGUCAGCUCGUGUCGAGAGCGUUGGGCUAAGUCCCGCAACGAGCAACCCUUGUCAUUAGUUGCUGCCGAAAGGGCACUCUAAUGAGACUGCCGGUGACAAACCGAGGAAGGUGGGGAUGACGUCAAGUCCUCAUGGCCCUUAUGGGUAGGGCUUCAUCGUCAUACAAUGGUCGGGACAGAGGGUCGCUAACCCGCGAGGGGGAGCCAAUCCCAGAACCGAUUCGUAGUCCGGAUCGCAGUCUGCAACUCGACUGCGUGGGAAGUCGGAAUCGCUAGUAAUCGCGGAUCAGCAUGUCGCGGUGAAUACGUUCCCGGGUCUUGUACACACCGCCCGUCACACCAUGGCGGGUUUUACCAGAAGUAGUUAGCCUAACCGUAAGGAGGGCGAUUACCACGGUAGGAUUCAUGACUGGGGUGAAGUCGUAACAAGGUAG
rnacentral:misc_RNA from 1 species